UACGUAGGGUGCGAGCGUUGUCCGGAAUUAUUGGGCGUAAAGAGCUCGUAGGCGGUGUGUCACGUCGGCCGUGAAAACCUGCAGCUUAACUGUGGGCGUGCGGUCGAUACGGGCAUCACUGGAGUUCGGCAGGGGAGACUGGAAUUCCUGGUGUAGCGGUGAAAUGCGCAGAUAUCAGGAAGAACACCAACGGCGAAGGCAGCUCGCUGGGACGGUACUGACGCUGAGACGCGAAAGCGUGGGGAGCGAACAGG
rnacentral:rRNA from 1 species